CGGGGCGCCGCCGAGCGCUGUCUCUGCCCGCCGGAGGAGGGUCUCCGCAGGAACAUCUCCGGUGACUGUGGCACAAGUCUUGGCCAAGUUGUGUCUUGGACGUUGAGGCUCCCGGGAGCCCGGAGCAACUUGGAGGGUCUCCUGGCUCCUUAACCAUAUUCCUACACGUCUCGACUUUUGGGGGUGCUGGGUGCAGCCUCGGGGUGCGUGGAGGGCGGACCGACCGUUCGGGCGAGCAGAGCGGCGGGAAUCUAGGUCCCUCGGCUCGAUUGGCGAACUUACCUGAGACACUGAGACUCAAGAUCGUGCGGAUGUGUGACUAG
rnacentral:lncRNA from 1 species